CUUCAUUCCGUAUUCCAAGGCCAAAUUUUCCUGUUACCCCAGAUGUUUCUUGACUUCCUACUUUUGCAUUCCAGUCCCCUAUAAUGAAAUGUGGCCCCAUACCCCAUGGCUUAGUUUCAUUGAGUUAGACAAGGCUGUGGUCUGUGUGAUCAGAUUGACUAGUUUUCUGUGAUUAUGGUUUCAGUGUGUCUGACUCCUGAUGCCCUCUCACAACACCUACCAUCUCACUUGGGUUUCUCUUACGUUGGACGUGGGAUAUCUCUUCAUGGCUGCUCCAGCAAAGUGCAGCCGCUGCUCCUUACCUUGGACGAAGGGUACCUCCUCAUGGCUGCCCCUCCUGACCUUGAACGUGGAGUAGCUCCUCUCGGCCCUCUUUGUGCCCACUCUUGUUAUUGCUUUGAAGCUCAGCAAAGAAGGGAAAUCCAUUGAGAACAGUCUGUAAAGCCGGGAAUUCACCUAAAUCUCCUUGUGCAGUCAGGAGUAUAUCUUCUUCUUAAAGCCUUUUGGAGAAGGGAUCACAGCCUCCCUUAGAAUUAUUUGGAAGGACAGCAGCAGGAGGAGCAGGUUGGUGUGAGUAGUUAACUUGUCCUUUCUUGUUUUUUCCAACUUGUGGAGCACAGCUGGGAGUGAAACCCUGGAGACAACAGCUUCUCUGUUUUAUUAUGCUUCAGGAAACCUGAACAAGGAAGCAGGGUUACUGAAAAUUAGCUGCAUUUCCUUUUCUGCUUCUCAGUCCUGGUACAGGAGAUUUGCUAGGGUCUGGACUCUUUUAAUCUUUCCAGGGGCAGUGGGAGAUGGUUCUCUGUCAGAGGCUUCUCUCCAGGCUGCCAUGAAAUGAAGAGGAAGCAAAGUCCAGCUGAGUUUAGGUCUCUGCUCUUUCUCUUUUUUGUAGUAGCCUUUUGACAAGACUGGCCGUCUUCCUGCUUUCUGCAGAUUUCAUCCAGUGGCCCGCAUGUGAAUUUGAACAAACUUUCUCAUUGUUUUUCUUCCUGCUGUGACAGCCAGGAAUGUUUGCCCAUUGGUGAGACAUGCCCCACUAAUCCAUCACUUUGAAAGCUGUCAGGGUUCUCUGUUGGCUCCAGAAGAG
rnacentral:lncRNA from 1 species